rnacentral:rRNA from 1 species
AAAUGAAUAGACGGGGGCCCGCACAAGCGGAGGAACAUGUGGUUUAAUUCGAUGAUACGCGAGGAACCUUACCCGGGCUCGAACGGCAGGGGAAUCAUCCAGAGAUGGAUGAGUCUUCGGACUCCUGUCGAGGUGCUGCAUGGUUGUCGUCAGCUCGUGCUGUGAAGUGUCGGCUUAAGUGCCAUAACGAGCGCAACCCUUGCCGUCAGUUGCCAUCAGGUAAUGCUGGGGACUCUGGCGGGACUGCCACCGCAAGGUGUGAGGAAGGGGGGGAUGACGUCAAAUCAGCACGGCCCUUACGUCCGGGGCGACACACGUGUUACAAUGGUGGGUACAGAGGGAUGCUACCUGGCGACAGGAUGCUGAUCUCGAAAACCCAUCCCAGUUCGGAUUGGAGUCUGCAACCCGACUCCAUGAAGUUGGAUUCGCUAGUAAUCGCGCAUCAGCCAUGGCGCGGUGAAUACGUUCCCGGGCCUUGUACACACCGCCCGU